rnacentral:rRNA from 1 species
UGGGGAAUAUUGCACAAUGGGCGAAAGCCUGAUGCAGCGACGCCGCGUGCGGGAUGAAGGCCUUCGGGUUGUAAACCGCUUUUAAUUGGGAGCAAGCGAGAGUGAGUGUACCUUUUGAAUAAGCACCGGCUAACUACGUGCCAGCAGCCGCGGUAAUACGUAGGGUGCAAGCGUUAUCCGGAAUUAUUGGGCGUAAAGAGCUCGUAGGCGGUUUGUCACGCCUGGUGUGAAAGUCCAUCGCUUAACGGUGGAUCUGCGCCGGGUACGGGCAGGCUAGAGUGCAGUAGGGGAGAUUGGAAUUCCCGGUGUAACGGUGGAAUGUGUAGAUAUCGGGAAGAACACCAAUGGCGAAGGCAGAUCUCUGGGCUGUUACUGACGCUGAGGAGCGAAAGCAUGGGGAGCGAACAGGAUUAGAUACCCGUGGUAGUCCAUGCCGUAAACGGUG